UACGAAGGGGGCUAGCGUUGCUCGGAAUUACUGGGCGUAAAGCGCACGUAGGCGGCUUUCUAAGUCGGGGGUGAAAUCCUGGAGCUCAACUCCAGAACUGCCUUCGAUACUGGAGAGCUUGAGUCCGGGAGAGGUGAGUGGAACUGCGAGUGUAGAGGUGAAAUUCGUAGAUAUUCGCAAGAACACCAGUGGCGAAGGCGGCUCACUGGCCCGGUACUGACGCUGAGGUGCGAAGGCGUGGGGAGCAAGCAGG
rnacentral:rRNA from 1 species